ensembl:lncRNA
AUCUACACUACCUCCACAUUUCAGAGUAUAUAUGUUUUACUAAAAAGAAAAAAGGAGAGAAAAGCCUCAGGUGAACACUUUUAAGAUUACAUUUCAAGAUUUUGGUUUCCUUUUUCAGAUUAAAAUAAUUGAUCAAACUAAAUGAAAUAAAAACAGUCAGAACACUCCCCUGUCUUGCAAUAAAACCAUAUGUGUUCAGUUCAGCUAAAAACUGAACAGGCCAAAAUAGUCAUGCAAGUCAUAUUUGUCACUAUCUAGUUGCAGCUAAUCCAUUCGGUGGAUCAGCUCCAUUGCUGAGGCUCCAGUGCUAGCAGUAUGGAAGAGCAACUACUAUUGGAUAUUGGCUUAUUCAUUGUAUUAAUUGCCUCUGUAUUCAUACCUUGUUCUCAGAAAAACCUUCCUUCAUAGAUGUAUUUGUGUCCUUUAGACUGCAUAGUAAGGAAAAAAAGUCACAUUUCCAGUCUGUAAUAGAAUAUUUUAAGUGAUGGCUAGCUUCCAUGCUGCUGGGAUCUGCAAAAGCAACAACUGAUAAAGAACGGCAAUGGAUAUUAACUGUACUUGGAUUUGUUUGGUUUGUCUCAGUUUCCUAAUGCAUGAAAGCCUAUGUUUAUUGGGCUUAGCACUCCACCAAAAGCUGCAGUGGGUACAGCUGCCUAAAAGUGCUGCUCUAUGAAGCAGAGCUUUUCUUCUCUCACCAAAUUAAUGAGUUGUCCUGGCAGUGGCCAGCAGUGCCUAUCUGCUUGGUCCCUGGCUAAGACAAACAUUUCCCAUUAAAUUCUGCUAACAACAGAAGACAUAAACCUCUUUUCAUGCACAGCAAACUGUCUGAGGGCAUUGUACUACUCAGUCAGCAAUGUAGACUCACUCCAGCCUUGCAGUUGGAUGCAUUAGUUCACUUCCAUUUCUUCACACUGAUAUUUCCUGGGUAUUUUUCUGCCUGAAGUUAUGCUGUGCCACCUGUUACCCGAUUCUUCAAUUGCACCAGCUUUUUCUUCCAUGACACUUGUUGGCAUUCUGCUAAGGACACUUAGGUCAGUUCCUAAAACAGUCAACAAGAAAGUCAGAACAGAACUGAAACUGGCAGCAGAAAAUCAUGAGCAGAGGUUUGGAUUCACCAAAGUAUUUAACAGACUUACUCCCAAGAUCUUCCACUUAAACACUUUGAGAAAACUCAGCCUGAGGAACGAGGUUAUUUUGAUGGAUCAAAACCACACGGCAGUUCAAUGGAUUGUUACAUUGGCAUCAUUGGUGGAGUGACUCAUGGAGGUAAUGGUGAGAAAAGGGACAAGUGGACAGGAGAAGGAAAUGCAACAACUCCUAUUGGUAACAUAAUCGCUGAAUUUCCACUGUGAACAUCAGGCUUACGGAAGAACAAGCUGCUGAGUCCAUCCAGGAAAAAACAAACAAAACAAACAAACCAAACAACAAAAAAACCGUACUUCUGCUUAAAUGGUUUGCUGUGCUGUCACAAGUUCUGGGAUCCAUCCAGUGCAGAAUAGACAGAGCACAAUAAGGCUGAAUAUUUGAGUAUUUCUAUUCCUAAAUAAAUUCAAUACAAUCCUGGCA